rnacentral:rRNA from 1 species
AGAGUUUGAUCCUGGCUCAGAUUGAACGCUGGCGGCAGGCCUAACACAUGCAAGUCGAGCGGAUGAAGAGAGCUUGCUCUCUGAUUCAGCGGCGGACGGGUGAGUAAUGCCUAGGAAUCUGCCUAUUAGUGGGGGACAACGUUUCGAAAGGAACGCUAAUACCGCAUACGUCCUACGGGAGAAAGCAGGGGACCUUCGGGCCUUGCGCUAAUAGAUGAGCCUAGGUCGGAUUAGCUAGUUGGUGAGGUAAUGGCUCACCAAGGCGACGAUCCGUAACUGGUCUGAGAGGAUGAUCAGUCACACUGGAACUGAGACACGGUCCAGACUCCUACGGGAGGCAGCAGUGGGGAAUAUUGGACAAUGGGCGAAAGCCUGAUCCAGCCAUGCCGCGUGUGUGAAGAAGGUCUUCGGAUUGUAAAGCACUUUAAGUUGGGAGGAAGGGCAUUAACCUAAUGCGUUAGUGUUUUGACGUUACCGACAGAAUAAGCACCGGCUAACUUCGUGCCAGCAGCCGCGGUAAUACGAAGGGUGCAAGCGUUAAUCAGAAUUACUGGGCGUAAAGCGCGCGUAGGUGGUUUGUUAAGUUGGAUGUGAAAGCCCCGGGCUCAACCUGGGAACUGCAUCCAAAACUGGCAAGCUAGAGUAUGGCAGAGGGUGGUGGAAUUCCUGUGUAGCGGUGAAAUGCGUAGAUAUAGGAAGGAACACCAGUGGCGAAGGCGACCACCUGGGCUAAUACUGACACUGAGGUGCGAAAGCGUGGGGAGCAACAGGAUUAGAUACCCUGGUAGUCCACGCCGUAAACGAUGUCGACUAGCCGUUGGGAUCCUUGAGAUCUUAGUGGCGCAGCUAACGCAUUAAGUCGACCGCCUGGGGAGUACGGCCGCAAGGUUAAAACUCAAAUGAAUUGACGGGGGCCCGCACAAGCGGUGGAGCAUGUGGUUUAAUUCGAAGCAACGCGAAGAACCUUACCAGGCCUUGACAUGCAGAGAACUUUCCAGAGAUGGAUUGGUGCCUUCGGGAACUCUGACACAGGUACUGCAUGGCUGUCGUCAGCUCGUGUCGUGAGAUGUUGGGUUAAGUCCCGUAACGAGCGCAACCCUUGUCCUUAGUUACCAGCACGUGAUGGUGGGCACUCUAAGGAGACUGCCGGUGACAAACCGGAGGAAGGUGGGGAUGACGUCAAGUCAUCAUGGCCCUUACGGCCUGGGCUACACACGUGCUACAAUGGUCGGUACAAAGGGUUGCCAAGCCGCGAGGUGGAGCUAAUCCCAUAAAACCGAUCGUAGUCCGGAUCGCAGUCUGCAACUCGACUGCGUGAAGUCGGAAUCGCUAGUAAUCGUGAAUCAGAAUGUCACGGUGAAUACGUUCCCGGGCCUUGUACACACCGCCCGUCACACCAUGGGAGUGGGUUGCUCCAGAAGUAGCUAGUCUAACCUUCGGGAGGACGGUUACCACGGAGUGAUUCAUGACUGGGGUGAAGUCGUAACAAGGUAACCGUA